UACGUAGGGGGCAAGCGUUGUCCGGAUUUAUUGGGCGUAAAGAGCGUGUAGGCGGUCCGGCAGGUCCGUUGUGAAAACUCGAGGCUCAACCUCGAGACGCCGAUGGAAACCAUCUGACUAGAGUCCGGAAGAGGAGAGUGGAAUUCCUGGUGUAGCGGUGAAAUGCGCAGAUAUCAGGAAGAACACCCGUGGCUAAGGCGGCUCUCUAGUACGGUACUGACGCUGAGACGCGAAAGCGUGGGGAGCGAACAGG
rnacentral:rRNA from 1 species